rnacentral:lncRNA from 1 species
CUCAUGGUGAGCUCAUAGAUAGUUUAUGCUAACAAGAUGACUCAGGAUGGUGUUGACCAAUCCAGAGAGACUAACCAUGUUUUUAGAGGGUUGGAACUUCGAACCAUGUGAUAUUAGGCUGACCUCCAGGGAGGGGAGUAGGAACUGGAGAUUAAGUUCAAUCACAUGGCCAGUAAUUCAAUAUAUCAUGCCCACAAAAUAGAACUCCAAUAAAAACUUAGACACUGAAGCUCAUAUGAGUUUCCUUGGGUAACAAUGUGUAUUGUUACACAACAAUGAUUGAAAGGUGAUGUGUCCUGACUCUGCAGGGAGAGAGGACAUCAGAAGCUACACAUUUGGGACCUUCUCAGGCUUCACCCUAUGAACCUCUUUUUGCUGAUCCUGAUUUGUAUUAUUUGUGCUAUAAUAACACUGUAAUUAUAUGUAUAGGACUUUCCUGAAUUCUCUGUCACUGUCAGUCUAUUAAAUGAUUGAGCAUGAAGAGAGAGUAGGAACCCCUGAGUAUUUAGCUUGUUGGUCAGAAGUGCUGGUGGCCUUGGAACUCAUAAGCUUGUGGCUAGUUUCUGAGGUGAGUGAGAGGUCUUGUGAAGGACUGUGCCCUCAGCCUGUGAAGUCUGCCUAACUCUGGCUAGUCCAUCGCAAGUCACUGCACACGUAUUAAUUCAAUCAGCUCUAUGGUCUAACCCAGGCACAACAGGAAUACAACCUUUUACUACAGAUGUGGGAUUGUUCAUGUCAUCUACUAAUGCAAGAUGGAUCUGAGAACGCUGUCUGGGCUUGGUGCCAAGGGCUGGUAUUUCACAGCAGCGACCGCCUCACAGACGAGCUGUGGGAAGCAGGAGGGAGACUCUCUCUUAGGGUGCCACUACUAUGGAGACACAGCUGGGCUGAACAAGAUUUGCUUCAAACGACAACAAGAGAGACAGAAAGUAUCUGGUUCAACCGCUGCCCGAGCAGGCAGGCACCAGAAGAGCUAGCAGCCAAUCCGGCCAUGCUCGAAGCCAGCUCUGCAGCUCAGCCAAUCAGUGACAUCAUUGCUUUCUUUAGCUUGCCCAUGGUGAUGUGA